GACGAACGCUGGCGGCGUGCUUAACACAUGCAAGUCGAACGGUGACCCAGGGCUUGCCCUGGUGAUCAGUGGCGAACGGUGAGUAACACGUGGGCAACCUGCCCCUGACUUCGGGAUAACUCCUCGAAAGAGGAGCUAAUACCGGAUACGACCACUUCGGACAUCCGAUGGUGGUGGAAAGUUCUUCGGUCAGGGAUGGGCCCGCGGCCUAUCAGCUAGUUGGUGGGGUAAUGGCCUACCAAGGCGACGACGGGUAGCCGGCCUGAGAGGGCGACCGGCCACACUGGGACUGAGACGCGGCCCAGACUCCUACGGGAGGCAGCAGUGGGGAAUAUUGCGCAAUGGGCGAAAGCCUGACGCAGCGACGCCGCGUGAGGGAUGAAGGCCUCGGUUGUAAACCUCUUUCAGCAGGGACGAAGCGAAAGUGACGGUACCUGCAGAGGAAGCACCGGCUAACUACGUGCCAGCAGCCGCGGUAAU
rnacentral:rRNA from 1 species